rnacentral:rRNA from 1 species
UACGUAGGGGGCAAGCGUUGUCCGGAAUCAUUGGGCGUAAAGAGCGCGUAGGCGGCCCUGUAAGUCCGCUGUGAAAGUCAAGGGCUCAACCCUUGGAUGCCGGUGGAUACUGCAGGGCUAGAGUGCGGUAGGGGUGACUGGAAUUCCUGGUGUAGCGGUGGAAUGCGUAGAUAUCCGGAAGAACACCGGAGGCGAAGGCGGCUUGCUGGACCUGGUCUGACGCUGAGGCGCGAAAGCGUGGGGAGCGAACAGG